rnacentral:rRNA from 1 species
CAGUAGCCGCGGUAACACGGAGGGUGCAAGCGUUAAUCGGAAUUACUGGGCGUAAAGCGUGCGUAGGCGGUUCGUUAAGUCUGUUGUGAAAGCCCCGGGCUCAACCUGGGAAUGGCAAUGGAUACUGGCGAGCUAGAGUGUGUCAGAGGAUGGUGGAAUUCCCGGUGUAGCUGUGAAAUGCGUAGAGAUCGGGAGGAACAUCAGUGGCGAAGGCGGCCAUCUGGGACAACACUGACGCUGAGGCACGAAAGCGUGGGGAGCAAACAGGAUUAGAGACCCCCGUAGUCCCUGUCUCUUAUAC